GGCCUCGUAGCUCAGCUGGUAGAGCAUGCGCGUACAAAGCGUAGGCGGCGUCCAUGCGUGGGUUCGAGUCCCACCGAGGCUA
rnacentral:tRNA from 1 species